CCAUGAUGACUAAGAACCCAAUUUGUCCUAUAUCUCACAUUUUUAUUAGAAGGGAGCAUGCUUCACAUGAUUGGUUGCUCCUUGUCACUUCAUGGAUUUUAUUUGUAGAGGACAAUUGUUUCGCUUGAAAUUCCAAUGGAUAAUCUAGGUUCUUUAGAGAUCAAAUCCAAGCCAUUGAAUUGGCCCAAAAAGAAUAAGGACCGUUGAUUCAAGGCAGAGGGCCCCACCAUCACUUGAUCAUAGGGCCAUGCAUGUGACAUUAGAGUGAGGCCGCCCAUGUGGUUUGCAUGUACAUCAUGUCCCCUGAGCAAGGCCAUGGAUGUGGGAAAGUCCAUGCAAUGAAGUAGGGCACCAUCUCUGUAUCUAUCCAUCUUGAUACCUAAAAGUAAGGGAACUCAACACUCUAUGUUGUGGCUCGUUGCCAGGUGAAACACUUUUAGGUCAUUCAUAUCCUUGCUCUCUCUCUUUUUUUUUUGGUGUUUACAUGAUAUUUAACAAAAAUAUAACUCAAGACAUCAUGUUGUAGUCCGUCACAUCCUACAUGCUAUAUCAUCACACACGGUUUCACACUUAAUAUUUGUUUGGAAAAAGUUCGGCUUUAGAAGCAAAACUUCCAAAAUUGCGGCACAAUGUUUUUUUAUACCCACAUACAUUGAAGUCUUAUCUCAUUUCUCUCUCUCUCUCCAUGCAAACACAUGCUGAAGUCCUCUCUCUCUCAUAUCACACAUACACCAGAGUCUUAUCACAUGUUUUCUCUACCUCUCUCUCUGUAACAUAUUCUUGUCGUCUCUCUCACUUCACACAUAAACCAAAGUCUAUCUAAUUUUUCUCUAUUUCACAUCAUUUCUUUUCUCUUUCUCUCUUUUUUGGGUAAAUCAGCAAGGAAGUGGUCAUCUCUCAGUAAAAAUGAAAUUCAAUACAUGUGGAACCCAGCUACUAAAGACUUAUACCUUACUCAUUCCUGCAACAUUUCUACUUUCCUCUCUCUCUAACACGAGCUGAUCCUGACUUUUCAUUGCGACGUACUUAUCCACUCUGAGUGCCCUUGCCUUCCCAUUUUAAAAACAUGUUUAUACCAUAUAUGCAACAUGUGUAUCUCAAUGUCAUGUCCCAAUACUCUAAUUAUUGCUAUCGUGUUGUGAAAACAACAAACAAACAUUAUACACAUGACACUACACCAGAGAGAUGUGGUUGGAUAGGUCUCUCACCCCCCCUUCUUUCCUCCAACUCCCAACUCUCUCCUCUCUCUCUCUCUCUCUCUCACAGAUUGUCCCCCCCUCCCCCUCUCUCAACGUGAUGGUUUUGGAGCUAGUUUUUCCAACUUUUUUUUUUUAUGUCAAUGGAGAAACACCAUUGUGUUAUUAUGUUUUUUUUUUAUUCGCGUAUAUGUUAUGUAUGAUACUAGGCAUUGAUUUAAAAAGCGAAUCAGUGACCCCAAAAACUGAUGCGAAUCGGUGACCCUGAUUGAGUACCCCGAAAACUGGUAUGGAUAAGUGAAUCAAGAUCGUUGCUUUACUGUGCAGAAAAAACAAUGAAC
rnacentral:lncRNA from 1 species